rnacentral:lncRNA from 1 species
UGAGUGAAGAUUUAAAAGAAAAGAAAUUUGAUUCCUUCAUUGGUAGUAGUUGUAGCAGUUCUACAGUUCAAGCCCCCAUUGGUAUUAUUAGAAAUGCUACGUGCGCAUUUUCGUCAUAUAUUCAUAGAUAUUUAUCUAAUACUCUACUAGCUACGUACAUGUACAUGCAUAUAAGUAUGUGUAUAGGUAUCUUUGAGGAGGGAAGAUGGUACCUAGUAUAUGUGCUGAUAUAAAGAGAAUGGUGAAAUGCGAAGACGGGAGACAGAUAAUCCACGGGCGUCGCAAUGGGUCGGGCCCUUUUUUCGUCGGUAACCGUGAAAUUACCUACCGCGCCAAAUUGAUGCGCUCCACAGAUAAAACGCGAAACCUAAUAAUGUACGCGACGGCGUCGUCGCUAGCGUCGUCGUCGACAUCGGCGUUUCUACCGGCAAAGUCACUUAUUCAUACGGAGAAGUUCCACGUCUUAUCUAUAAUGGGCUUUGCAUUCAAACAAAUCGCGAAACGCCGAGAGGAGUAGUUCGUUCAAACGAAAAUUGGGUUGAACUGAAUUGAUACGAUAAACAGAGACGCCAAGGAACUCACUCGCCUCAGGCAAAUAUAAGGAUAUUAGCAGGAAUGGAGCAGAAAUGCCAUUAUAGAUGGGGUGAAUGAAGCAUCCGAUGGGAAGAUGGCUGAUGCCAAUAAAGCGGUGCCUCGAUUUUAUGGGCAGCGCUUAAGCGUCAGUUAAUUGUCAGCAAGUUCCUGACAGUUUUAUCUUCGUAUUUAUGGGCAGCUAUGCAGAAUGAAUAUUUACGAACCCGAGUCUCGAAAAAAUCCCACUUACCAGGACAGCAGGAAACGCGAUCUCGAGAAAUACGGGCCUGCCCGCCCGUAUUAACCGACAAUCCCUUCUAAGCUACGACGAUAUGUCUACAUACGCAUUCUAC